rnacentral:rRNA from 1 species
CACCCCAGUCAUCGACCCCACCUUAGGCGGCUGGCUCUCUUGCGAGUUACCUCACCGACUUCGGGUGUUGCCAACUCCCAUGGUGUGACGGGCGGUGUGUACAAGACCCGGGAACGUAUUCACCGUGGCAUGCUGAUCCACGAUUACUAGCGAUUCCGGCUUCAUGUAGGCGAGUUGCAGCCUACAAUCCGAACUGAGAAUGGUUUUAUGGGAUUGGCUAAACCUCGCGGUCUCGCAGCCCUUUGUACCAUCCAUUGUAGCACGUGUGUAGCCCAGGUCAUAAGGGGCAUGAUGAUUUGACGUCAUCCCCACCUUCCUCCGGUUUGUCACCGGCAGUCUCCUUAGAGUGCCCAACCUAAUGCUGGCAACUAAGGACAAGGGUUGCGCUCGUUGCGGGACUUAACCCAACAUCUCACGACACGAGCUGACGACAACCAUGCACCACCUGUCACUCUAUCCCCCGAAGGGG